AGAACGAACGCUGGCGGCAGGCUUAACACAUGCAAGUCGAACGCCCCGCAAGGGGAGUGGCAGACGGGUGAGUAACGCGUGGGAACAUGCCUUUCGGUUCGGAAUAGCUCCGGGAAACUGGGAUUAAUACCGGAUACGUCCUGGAGAAGAUUAUCGCCGAAGAUUGGCCCGCGUCUGAUUAGCUAGUUGGCGGUGUAAUGGACCACCAAGGCGACGAUCAGUAGCUGGUCUGAGAGGAUGAUCAGCCACAUUGGGACUGAGACACGGCCCAAACUCCUACGGGAGGCAGCAGUGGGGAAUAUUGGACAAUGGGCGCAAGCCUGAUCCAGCCAUGCCGCGUGAGUGAUGAAGGCCUUAGGGUUGUAAAGCUCUUUCGACGGGGACGAUAAUGACGGUACCCGUAGAAGAAGCCCCGGCUAACUUCGCGCCAGCAGCCGC
rnacentral:rRNA from 1 species